UCAAAUAUAUUAGUUAGUAUGACAUUUUAUUUAGGCUUAAUUGAUCUGUCGGUCCAUUAACUUAUUUCUUUUAUUCAAUUUGAUCUCAUAAGUCUUAACUUUCUCAAACACGUCCCUUAACUUAUUUCUUUUAUUCAAUUUGAUCCAAUUUUGAUAAUUUUAAUCUUUUAAAAAAAGAGACCGUUGGAUUACAAAAGUCUAUCAGAUUUUAUAAUGUAUCACCAAUGUCUAAUUUAUUUACUUUCUUCUUCUUCCAUCAUCUUCAUCUUCAUUCGUCCUUCAAUCAUAUUCAUAAAAUCAAAUAAAAAAAUCUAGAUUUAAUUCCAAAUUUUAGAAAAAUCAAAACUCAAUCAAAACUUUAGACCGUAAUUUUGUGCUUCUGAUUUUCUCCAAAUCCUUCUUUCUUCUUCUCCAAAUCUAGAAGAAGAAAAUUACCAUUAUACCCUUAUUUCUUCAUCUCUCCAAAAUCCCAUAGACCGUAUUCUCUUCUUCUCACUAGAACACUAACCAAUAUCUUCUUCUUCAACACUUCUGCAACUUUCCUCCUUUUAAUUCUUCAAAUUUAUUGCUUUUUAUCUCCUUGUAUGUUGCCUUGUUGAUUUCUACUCUGGAUCUACAUCAAAACCCAGUAUUAUUUCCACUCGUCAAAAUUGAAUCUUCAUCAAUUUGAAUCUUCAUCUUCUUCUUCAAUGACUUCCAAUCUGAAUCUUCGUGAAUCUUCAUCAACGAAAACGAAAAUCAGGACAAACGAUUGCAACACGGCGAAUUCGAAAAAUCAUGAAGUAAAAGCGAAAUAGGAGUUCCAGAUUUCAUGAAACGUAAAUCUGUAUUGCAGAAAAUAGGAGUUCCAGCGGUCUCUUUUUAUAGUGUAUCGUAAGUUUAUGAAAGAGUAACUGUUUUGAUUUAUGAAAGAGUAAUUUGUAUAAAAAAAAAACUAAGAUUUUUCCAAUGGAUUCCUUGAUUGAUGAAAAAGUAAUCAAAACCCAUAAUAAUGGUUAAUGGUGUUUUACCCCGUAAUAUAGGUCAUUUUUUGUUUUACCCAUAAUAGGGGGUAAAUCAAAAAAAAUAUUUUACACGGAGAAAACUAAAAAUGACUUAUAUUACAGAGGGUAAAACACCAUUAACCUUAAAAAUAUAUGUAUCGUAAGUUUUAGAUCCAGUGGUGUAAUAGUUUUAUUUAUUUUUUUAUUAACUACUUGAAGAUUAUGGAAAUUUCUGGAUUCAUGAAAGUUAAUGAUUUUUUUUUUUUUUUUUGGUAAAUAUAGGGACUGUGUUUAUGGAGAGUUAUUAUGAUAUUAUUUUGAAUCAAUUUUUGGAUGAGGGGUUUGAUAAUGUAGUUUUUGUUUAAGUUUUUUUUGUAAGAGUUUUUGUUUAAGCUGAAAUGUGAAUUUUUGAAAGAAAAAAAGGUGGGAUUUUUAUUUUAUGUUAUAACGAUGAUGAAGGUUGAAUGAUGAUGAAGAUGGAGGAAGAAGAUGAAGAAAAUAAAUAAAUUAGGUAUUGAUGAUACACUAUAAAAUAUGGUAG
rnacentral:lncRNA from 1 species